CUUACGUGAACUGUGAUUGGCUCGCGGGAGCCUGAAUUUAAAGGCACCGCGCCGUCUAGGGGCUGGAGUAAGGGAAGAGGUCUGUAGAGUUCGUUGCGGAGUCAGAUCACUCAGAUAUGCGCUGGAAGAAACUGAGAAAUUACCUAGCCUAGUCCUGGUCAUCCGCUACUUUCAGGAGCCCAAAGAGAUUGAGUCACUAGCUCAACUCCACACUAUACUCUUCCAGAGACUAGGAAAGAGUCUCCAAACCCUGGAGCUAGCUGAGACAGCUUCAGAUUCCACAGCAGCCCUAUCUCUCGCCACUACCUCCCUGCCCCAGCAGAGAAGGAGAGCAAAGGAAACUAACAUUUACUGAAUGCUUACUACACCCAAGUACAUCGGGAGAAACAAAUGUAACAAAUGACUUGCAGAGAGUUCAGUACAUCCACAUAAACAAGAUGGUAACAGUACAGGAACAAUGAGGAAGACAGGAAACUCAGGCUCGGAGAAACUAAGAAAUUCGUGCAGGGCCCACAGCUGGGAAGAGACUUCAUAUCCAGGUCUGGCUGAAUCCUAGGCCCAUGCCCUUCGCAGGACCCUGCCUCUGAGGACGCCUUGGGAAGUUCACGUACGCACAGACGGUCCUCUCCUGUGGAGGAGCACGUCUCCUCCUACCAUUCAUGCUCGCCACCCUCCCUCAUAUUGUCAAGGCCAAGGUGAUGGACCUGUUGUCAUAACUAUAAUUGCACCCAACCCUGCAUAAUUUUAGUAUCCAGUAUCCAAUCCUCCUUAAACCACCUCCUAUCUUUUCUGCUCAUGUUGUGUAGACAGUAAUUCCAAUAAUUCUUUGACCCACCAGGACCUUCAAUCCACUGUUCCUCUCUUCGGGUCUUGACUUUCCUCCUUAGUCAGCUUAGGGACUUGGUCCAUCACUGUAAUUACUUCCUUGAAUACAUCUUCAACCCCCUUGCUCCCCACUCAUUAAAAUCUCAUCCACCUGACAAGGCCACACCCUGCCUAAACCUUCAAAGCUGCCGGAGCCAGGGACCCACACAGCCCUGCUGACUUUAACAUCAGCCCACCAGCCUGGGGGUAUAGGCGUGUUGUCUGCCAAUCCCUCUGUCUGACCUGGUUCCCCCACCAAGGUCAGGCCAUACCAGGGUCUCCUCAGUCCCGAUAGCUCCUCCUGCCCACAUCCUCCUCUCAGCUGAGACCUUACUUUCCACCUCACUGAGGAAACAAGCCAUCUGCAGAGCACUGGCCCUCCACACACCCUCCACCAUUUGCCCGGCUCAGCGCGCUGUUCAGCUACUCCUCUGCUGUGGGAUUGGACCAGUUGCUCCUCUCUCGGACUGCCCAGUCUCAUCCUCCUCACUCCAGAGACUUUCCCUCUUUCGCUGACUGGGUCAUUCCAGUCUGCAUUACAACAUCAUUUCUUGCUGGGGUAGUGGUGCACACCUGUAAUCUUAGCAUUUGGGAAGCUGAGGCAGGAAGGUCUCAAGGCCUUGAGUUCAAGAGUCCAAGGCCAGCCUGAACUACACAGCCAGACCAUGUCUCAAAAACAAAAAAAUACUA